rnacentral:rRNA from 1 species
CCUACGGGUGGCAGCAGUGGGGAAUAUUGGACAAUGGGCGAAAGCCUGAUCCAGCCAUGCCGCGUGUGUGAAGAAGGCCUUCGGGUUGUAAAGCACUUUCAGUGGGGAAGAAAGCCUUGGGGCUAAUACCCUCGAGGAAGGACAUCACCCACAGAAGAAGCACCGGCUAACUCCGUGCCAGCAGCCGCGGUAAUACGGAGGGUGCGAGCGUUAAUCGGAAUUACUGGGCGUAAAGCGCGCGUAGGCGGUCUGAUAAGCCGGUUGUGAAAGCCCCGGGCUCACCCUGGGAACGGCAUCCGGAACUGUCAGGCUAGAGUGCAGGAGAGGAAGGUAGAAUUCCCGGUGUAGCGGUGAAAUGCGUAGAGAUCGGGAGGAAUACCAGUGGCGAAGGCGGCCUUCUGGACUGACACUGACGCUGAGGUGCGAAAGCGUGGGUAGCAAACAGGAUUAGAUACCCUGGUAGUC